rnacentral:rRNA from 1 species
GAUGAACGCUGGCGGCGUGCCUAAUACAUGCAAGUAGAACGCUGAAGGAAGGAGCUUGCUCUUUCCGGAUGAGUUGCGAACGGGUGAGUAACGCGUAGGUAACCUGCCUGGUAGCGGGGGAUAACUAUUGGAAACGAUAGCUAAUACCGCAUAACAGUAGAUGUUGCAUGAUAUCUACUUAAAAGGUGCAAUUGCACCACUACCAGAUGGACCUGCGUUGUAUUAGCUAGUUGGUGAGGUAACGGCUCACCAAGGCGACGAUACAUAGCCGACCUGAGAGGGUGAUCGGCCACACUGGGACUGAGACACGGCCCAGACUCCUACGGGAGGCAGCAGUAGGGAAUCUUCGGCAAUGGACGGAAGUCUGACCGAGCAACGCCGCGUGAGUGAAGAAGGUUUUCGGAUCGUAAAGCUCUGUUGUAAGAGAAGAACGAGUGGGAGAGUGGAAAGUUCACACUGUGACGGUAUCUUACCAGAAAGGGACGGCUAACUACGUG